rnacentral:rRNA from 1 species
UAGGGAAUCUUCCACAAUGGGCGAAAGCCUGAUGGAGCAACGCCGCGUGUGUGAUAAAGGCUUUCGGGUCGUAAAGCACUGUUGUAUGGGAAGAACAGCUAGAAUAGGAAAUGAUUUUAGUUUGACGGUACCAUACCAGAAAGGGACGGCUAAAUACGUGCCAG